CUCUACUGUCAGACGUGUCGGCAAAAUUGUGUAAGUGGGCUUUGUACAUUGUAACUAACGAAAUGUCUUGACAAGAAUACAAAUAAAGUAACGUGGUGCAGAAGAUGGCCUUUAUGCAGCAGCAGAUCCCACACAUACUGGUGAGCAGAGAAGCCAGACAACACAUACAUGUGGGUGCUGUUACGGCAGACUGCAAGGAACAGGUGCGCUCAGUGCUGUGAAGAAGCCUAGGGUACUGGUGGGCUGAUGAGGGUUGAUGCCUAAAGAAAGAACAACUACAAUAUGAACUCCAGAUAUGUGGACAGUCAGAAGUCAUGGAGCUCUACUAUUGGCUGCACUGUGUGGCGGAGCAUCUGGUGCAGGUAACUGAGGCGCAAACUGGUCAGAUGGUAGCCUCACGGCCACGCAGUCAAGGCAGACCAGUUGCUGUAUCUGCAGGCUUCCAUCAAUGACAUCAUAGUACAGUUCAGAGUACACUUCUUGUAAAUAAAUACACUGGCUGCUGUACAAAUGCCUAUAUUACAACAUGUUUAAAAGGUAGCCCAUGGAAGGCUCCACAGAAAUUUGUGUCACCAGCAUCACUUGAUGCCUAUUUUCCAUGGACUGGUCAUAUACUGUCAGAGGACAGAUGAAUAAUAUUCUGACAGGUAUGUACUUAAGACACUGUUUGGCAGCUAACGAACCAGUUCCAUUGCAGAGCCAGUUGCAGGUCAUCACUGCUCCUGAACAUCCACAAGCAUCUAAGCCAUCACCUGCUGAAAAUCAUUGCACUCCUUGCUGACCAUUAUGUCAAGGGACUUAGUCUGUAUUCCAGUUAACAAGCAGUAAUGUGUUGCCAGAAGGAAGCUCUCACUCACCUCAGUAAACACUGCCUUGUUUGACAUUGUGUCUAAUUCAGCCACCGAGCACGCCUUGCCAAUGAACUUCACCAACCA